CCGGAGUGGACGAACCUCUGGUGUUCCGGUUGUCACGCCAGUGGCAUCGCCGGGUAGCUAUGUUCGGACGGGAUAACCGCUGAAAGCAUCUAAGCGGGAAGCCUCCCUCGAGAUGAGAUCUCACUAAAUCUUCGGAUUUCUGAAGGGCCCUCGUAGACUACGAGGUUGAUAGGCGGGAUGUGUAAGCGCUGUGAGGCGUUGAGCUAACCCGUACUAAUUGCCCGUGCGGCUUGACCAUAUAA
rnacentral:rRNA from 1 species